AGUGAACGCUGGCGGUAGGCCUAACACAUGCAAGUCGAACGGCAGCACAGUAAGAGCUUGCUCUUACGGGUGGCGAGUGGCGGGCGGGUGAGGAGUACAUCGGAAUCUACUUUUUCGUGGGGGAUAACGUAGGGAAACUUACGCUAAUACCGCAUACGACCUACGGGUGAAAGCAGGGGAUCUUCGGACCUUGCGCGAUUCAAUGAGCCGAUUUCGGAUUAGCUAGUUGGCGGGGUAAAGGCCCACCAAGGCGACGAUCCGUAGCUGGUCUGAGAGGAUGAUCAGCCACACUGGAACUGAGACACGGUCCAGACUCCUACGGGAGGCAGCAGUGGGGAAUAUUGGACAAUGGGCGCAAGCCUGAUCCAGCCAUGCCGCGUGGGUGAAGAAGGCCUUCGGGUUGUAAAGCCCUUUUGUUGGGAAAGAAAAGCAGCAGGUUAAUACCCCGCUGUUCUGACGGUACCCAAAGAAUAAGCACCGGCUAACUUCGUG
rnacentral:rRNA from 1 species